rnacentral:rRNA from 1 species
GGUUAAGCGACUAAGCGUACACGGUGGAUGCCCUGGCAGUCAGAGGCGAUGAAGGGCGUGCUAAUCUGCGAUAAGCGCGGGUAAGGUGAUAUGAACCGUUAUAACCGGCGAUACCCGAAUGGGGAAACCCAGUGUGAUUCGUCACACUAUCAUUAACUGAAUCCAUAGGUUAAUGAGGCGAACCGGGGGAACUGAAACAUCUAAGUACCCCGAGGAAAAGAAAUCAACCGAGAUUCCCCCAGUAGCGGCGAGCGAACGGGGAGGAGCCCAGAGCCUGAAUCAGCAUGUGUGUUAGUGGAAGCGUCUGGAAAGGCGCGCGAUACAGGGUGACAGCCCCGUACACAAAAGCGCAUGUGCUGUGAGCUCGAUGAGUAGGGCGGGACACGUGGUAUCCUGUCUGAAUAUGGGGGGACCAUCCUCCAAGGCUAAAUACUCCUGACUGACCGAUAGUGAACCAGUACCGUGAGGGAAAGGCGAAAAGAACCCCGGCGAGGGGAGUGAAAAAGAACCUGAAACCGUGUACGUACAAGCAGUGGGAGCACCCUUUGGGGUGUGACUGCGUACCUUUUGUAUAAUGGGUCAGCGACUUAUAUUCUGUAGCAAGGUUAACCGAAUAGGGGAGCCGGAGGGAAACCGAGUCUUAAUUGGGCGUUAAGUUGCAGGGUAUAGACCCGAAACCCGGUGAUCUAGCCAUGGGCAGGUUGAAGGUUGGGUAACACUAACUGGAGGACCGAACCGACUAAUGUUGAAAAAUUAGCGGAUGACCUGUGGCUGGGGGUGAAAGGCCAAUCAAACCGGGAGAUAGCUGGUUCUCCCCGAAAGCUAUUUAGGUAGCGCCUCGUGAAUUCAUCUCCGGGGGUAGAGCACUGUUUCGGCUAGGGGGCCAUCCCGGCUUACCAACCCGAUGCAAACUGCGAAUACCGGAGAAUGUUAUCACGGGAGACACACGGCGGGUGCUAACGUCCGUCGUGAAGAGGGAAACAACCCAGACCGCCAGCUAAGGUCCCAAAGUCAUGGUUAAGUGGGAAACGAUGUGGGAAGGCCCAGACAGCCAGGAUGUUGGCUUAGAAGCAGCCAUCAUUUAAAGAAAGCGUAAUAGCUCACUGGUCGAGUCGGCCUGCGCGGAAGAUGUAACGGGGCUAAACCAUGCACCGAAGCUGCGGCAGCGACACUGUGUGUUGUUGGGUAGGGGAGCGUUCUGUAAGCCUGCGAAGGUGGCCUGUGAGGGUUGCUGGAGGUAUCAGAAGUGCGAAUGCUGACAUAAGUAACGAUAAAGCGGGUGAAAAGCCCGCUCGCCGGAAGACCAAGGGUUCCUGUCCAACGUUAAUCGGGGCAGGGUGAGUCGACCCCUAAGGCGAGGCCGAAAGGCGUAGUCGAUGGGAAACGGGUUAAUAUUCCCGUACUUGGUGUUACUGCGAAGGGGGGACGGAGAAGGCUAUGUUGGCCGGGCGACGGUUGUCCCGGUUUAAGCGUGUAGGCUGGUUUUCCAGGCAAAUCCGGAAAAUCAAGGCUGAGGCGUGAUGACGAGGCACUACGGUGCUGAAGCAACAAAUGCCCUGCUUCCAGGAAAAGCCUCUAAGCAUCAGGUAACAUCAAAUCGUACCCCAAACCGACACAGGUGGUCAGGUAGAGAAUACCAAGGCGCUUGAGAGAACUCGGGUGAAGGAACUAGGCAAAAUGGUGCCGUAACUUCGGGAGAAGGCACGCUGACACGUAGGUGAAGUGAUUUACUCAUGGAGCUGAAGUCAGUCGAAGAUACCAGCUGGCUGCAACUGUUUAUUAAAAACACAGCACUGUGCAAACACGAAAGUGGACGUAUACGGUGUGACGCCUGCCCGGUGCCGGAAGGUUAAUUGAUGGGGUCAGCGCAAGCGAAGCUCCUGAUCGAAGCCCCGGUAAACGGCGGCCGUAACUAUAACGGUCCUAAGGUAGCGAAAUUCCUUGUCGGGUAAGUUCCGACCUGCACGAAUGGCGUAAUGAUGGCCAGGCUGUCUCCACCCGAGACUCAGUGAAAUUGAACUCGCUGUGAAGAUGCAGUGUACCCGCGGCAAGACGGAAAGACCCCGUGAACCUUUACUAUAGCUUGACACUGAACAUUGAGCCUUGAUGUGUAGGAUAGGUGGGAGGCUUUGAAGCGUGGACGCCAGUCUGCGUGGAGCCGACCUUGAAAUACCACCCUUUAAUGUUUGAUGUUCUAACGUGGACCCGUAAUCCGGGUUGCGGACAGUGUCUGGUGGGUAGUUUGACUGGGGCGGUCUCCUCCUAAAGAGUAACGGAGGAGCACGAAGGUUGGCUAAUCCUGGUCGGACAUCAGGAGGUUAGUGCAAUGGCAUAAGCCAGCUUGACUGCGAGCGUGACGGCGCGAGCAGGUGCGAAAGCAGGUCAUAGUGAUCCGGUGGUUCUGAAUGGAAGGGCCAUCGCUCAACGGAUAAAAGGUACUCCGGGGAUAACAGGCUGAUACCGCCCAAGAGUUCAUAUCGACGGCGGUGUUUGGCACCUCGAUGUCGGCUCAUCACAUCCUGGGGCUGAAGUAGGUCCCAAGGGUAUGGCUGUUCGCCAUUUAAAGUGGUACGCGAGCUGGGUUUAGAACGUCGUGAGACAGUUCGGUCCCUAUCUGCCGUGGGCGCUGGAGAACUGAGGGGGCUGCUCCUAGUACGAGAGGACCGGAGUGGACGCAUCACUGGUGUUCGGGUUGUCAUGCCAAUGGCACUGCCCGGUAGCUAAAUGCGGAAGAGAUAAGUGCUGAAAGCAUCUAAGCACGAAACUUGCCCCGAGAUGAGUUCUCCCUGAGACUUUAAGUCUCCUGAAGGAACGUUGAAGACGACGACGUUGAUAGGCCGGGUGUGUAAGCGCAGCGAUGCGUUGAGCUAACCGGUACUAAUGAACCGUGAGGCUUAACCUU